ensembl:snoRNA
GCCGCCUGAAAGUCGCCCCGUCCGUGCCCGUGGCCGCGGUGAGACUGGGCGCCUACAGCCACCGGGGCUUCAGCUCGCCCCCCGCUGCCUCGUGCGGGGGCGUGAAACGCAGGCCCCGACAGUG